rnacentral:rRNA from 1 species
UGGGGAAUAUUGGACAAUGGGGGAAACCCUGAUCCAGCAAUGCCGCGUGAGUGAAGAAGGCCCUCGGGUUGUAAAGCUCUUUCAUUAAUGAAGAUAAUGACAGUAAUUAAAGAAGAAGCCCCGGCUAACUCCGUGCCAGCAGCCGCGGUAAUACGGAGGGGGCUAGCGUUGUUCGGAAUCACUGGGCGUAAAGCGUAUGUAGGCGGAUCAAAAAGUUAGAUGUGAAAUCCCUGGGCUUAACCCAGGAACUGCAUUUAAAACUAGAGAUCUAGAAUUUGGUAGAGGUUAGUAGAAUUUCCAGUGUAGAGGUGAAAUUCGUAGAUAUUGGAAAGAAUACCAGUGGCGAAGGCGACUAACUGGGCCAUUUUUGACGCUGAGAUACGAAAGCGUGGGUAGCAAACAGG